UCAGCGUUGGUUAGACUGAGUAGACCAUAUUUGUUUGGAAGACGUAUUAAUUUCUUACUUACUCGUAAACUUGAUAAAUAUUGAUUAUCGAUUAUAUCCAAGUGCUUGAAGGAUAAAUUUAUUAUGCCGGGACCGACAGAAAAGCCGUCAGUUGAUAAAGAUAAAGAUAAAGCUAAAGAGCACGAGGAGAUUAUGAAUCAAGCUUACCAGAACAUUCUGGAUGAAUUGAUUGAUCAUGUGAUAAUGAAUGUAAUUUUGAAAGCUCAACCAGCUUAAUUUUUUGGAAUUAUGAAGAUUAGAAAUUAAUUGAACAGCAAGAGAAAGAAUGAAUUUGGUACUUUCUCUGAACGGUAACAGACAAGACGAUUACUCAUCAUCACUAUCAAAAUUUGCACCUUUGAAUCCAGUUGUAUAUGGAAAAUGGGUUUAUCUUGUAAUUCGCCUUUUGGAUUAUUUUACCAGUGUUACAAUUGGUCAUACAAAUAGAAAUUCAUUAUAUUUUCGAUGCCAGUUAAAUUAUGUGCUUCAAACAUUUUUGUGUUUUGUAAACUGUUUUCUGCUUUAAAAUAUUAACAUUUUUUUCAUGUUAUUAAGUUAAAACUAUGAUUGUUAUAUAAUGGCAGAUAGUCCUUGUCCAAGUACUUGAACAAAAUGAUUUCUUUUUUUUUAUAUAUAAUAAAACUUUGUGUUAUAUAAUGGCAGAUAGUUCUUGUACAAGUACUUGGAACAAAAUUUCUUUUUUUUUUAUAAUAAAACUUUGUGUUCUGUAAAUGUGUUAUACAUAUGUAUGAAAUUGAAGUUCCGUUAAUUGAAUUCUCUUGUCCAUUCAAUGACAAUGUUAACAUUAUUUUAAAAAUUUCUGUUCAUAUGUGUUCAAAAUAAUUUUUAGUGAGUUUUAAACUUUGAAUCAUUAGUUUAUUACAUUAUGGACUAGCCGCCUUUGGCGACCAGGCGGUUCGCCAAUCUUAAUGCUCGUUAAAAUUUUAAUAAUUAAAUAUUUUAUGUAAUUCCUACUUUAAUAGCUUCUUUAUUAAAAUAUUUUAAAACUUCAAAUUUCAAUUCACUCAUAAUAUUAUAAAGGCCUUCAGUCAUAACGUAAUCUGUAUCUCUCUAAUUUUCUGUUAGCUCCCGUAGAAUUUAUGCUUUAAAUUUAAGUGGAAAUGAUUAAUUUGCAAUUAAUAUAAUAAUAUUUUUUACUGAAACAAAGCUUUUUUUUUUUUUUUUUUGUAAUGAUUACUGAAAACAGAGUCACUGAGCAUUUAAACCUUAUGGGCACUAAAGAAUAUCUUUCUUAAUUUAUGUAAUAUCUAAAGAAUUUGUCAACAAAAUUUUUUCAGAUUCAUCAUGAGCAGGUCUAUUAAUUAACAAUGUUUAGUUUUAAAUGCACCAAACACUAAGAAAAUAAACAGAAUCUUUUAAAAUAAUCGGUAAACAGGUAAAAAAAAACAUGUAACUUCGAAAACAGGUUAAAAAAAAUUAUUUAAAAAGCGAUGAACUUAAACUAACAUAAAUACAAUUUAAUUGCAAAAGCAUACAACUAACCUAAAAAUAAUUUAAAUCAAGUCCGCUUCCGUUGAAAAUAGAUGUAAACAAUCAGAACACAAUGCGCAUGCGUGAAUUUUCAACGCCAGUUAUGGUAACGCAAAUGCGUGAAUUUUACUACGCCAGUUGGGGUGCAGAUAGAGGCCGCGGUGGCCUGGUGGUAAGGUCUUGGCUCGUGAGCCGUUAAGUUUCAGGUAUGAGACCCGAUUCCACCGAAGAACCGUCGUGUAAGGGGGUCUGUUGCACGCUAAAUCCGUCAGGCCAAACGUCCUCCCGCUGGUGUGGUGUGGUGUGGAGAGGGGGGUACCAGCUCAGGUGUCGUCCUCGUCAUCUGACCACGGUUCAAAAUUACGAGUUCCGUCCCUAAAUAGCCCUAGUGUUGCUUUACAACAGAACGUUAAUAUAACUAAACAAGCGCUAUGCAGAUUAGAAAUUUUUAAUUUCCUUUAUUCUGUUUUAUUUUAAUUCAAAAGUACUUCAGAAUGAAUCUGAAAGAUCGAUUAAUUAACAACGUUUAAUUUUAAAUGCAUCAAACAUUCAGAAAAUAAACAGAAUCGUUUGAAAUAAUCGGCCUAAAAAUGUUAAGCCUAAGCCUCAUUAGCAUGAGAAAAAAAUGCUGAAACCUUACUCAUUUGGCGAUGGGGAAAUGAAGAUAUUUUUUUGGCGGGAAAAUUAGUUUUUGAUUAAUAAUUAAAAUUCUAUUUAAAAUUUCAAAAAAAAGGGACCCUGGGUACACAUUCCCGACCUCCAAGGUAUACACGUACCAAAUUUGGCAGCUGUAGGUCAGAUGGUCAUUUCUGUAGAGCGCCAACACACACACACACAUUGAGCUUUAUAUAAGUAUAGAUAAUAAUUGAAAUGUUUUUGAUAAUAUUUUUGUACUCUGGAAUUAUCAGAGAUUUCAAUGAAUUUUUAUUCAAUGCAUGAAGAAUGAAUUUUAGGCUUAUUUCAUAAUUUAAUUCAUUGAAUAAUCUGGUACAUAAUCAAAAUUACAAUGUAAGUGCUCUAUUGUUCUGCUGUCAAUGUACUGCUCUAAAACUAAGCAGAAUGUGAAUUCAUUAUAAAUCCACUUUCAGAUAUAUCAUAAUGUUUUUUACCCUUGUUGUUUGCUAAACUUUCCAUUUAAAAACUCCAUCAACGGAAUUAUGCAUCUUUCAUUGUGUAUUGGAAUUUCAUUUUUGUCAUGUGUAUGAGAUUAACAA